rnacentral:rRNA from 1 species
GAUGAACGCUGGCGGCGUGCCUAAUACAUGCAAGUCGAGCGAACGGACGAGAAGCUUGCUUCUCUGAUGUUAGCGGCGGACGGGUGAGUAACACGUGGAUAACCUACCUAUAAGACUGGGAUAACUUCGGGAAACCGGAGCUAAUACCGGAUAAUAUUUUGAACCGCAUGGUUCAAAAGUAAAAGACGGUCUUGCUGUCACUUAUAGAUGGAUCCGCGCUGCAUUAGCUAGUUGGUAAGGUAACGGCUUACCAAGGCAACGAUGCAUAGCCGACCUGAGAGGGUGAUCGGCCACACUGGAACUGAGACACGGUCCAGACGCCUACGGGAGGCAGCAGUAGGGAAUCUUCCGCAAUGGGCGAAAGCCUGACGGAGCAACGCCGCGUGAGUGAUGAAGGUCUUCGGAUCGUAAAACUCUGUUAUUAGGGAAGAACAUAUGUGUAAGUAACUGUGCACAUCUUGACGGUACCUAAUCAGAAAGCCACGGCUAACUACGUG